UGUAAGCUAGAGAAUAAGGCCCGAACAAACCGGAAAGUGUGCGUUUUAAAGACGCAGGCUAGUCAAUAGUGUAGAAGAAUCUAAUUUUCGGUACAAGAAACACAUGGCGCUUGUAAUUGCUUGUAAGAACAUGAUAUAAUUUUUCUUGUUCAAACAUCAAAGAAAGCUGUUAUUAGUUGAUUUAUAGUUGAUUUACGUCUUUAAAGCUAGUUAUGUGCUUUUGGUUUGCUUAAUUUUGGGUAUAAGUUCAUAAUAUUUUCUACAUUCAUGUCACCAUCCUGGGUUUACAUUCAAAGUAGUGGACUACAAUUUAUUUCAUUGAGCAUUUUUGUCUAUAGUUUGGUGAGCUUGAGUAUAAGCAGGGUAUAAAUAACAAUGUCAAGUAAUUUAUCCCUUAGGAUAAAACCAAUCGCAUGUCUUUAGUGUGUUCGAAAAUGCAACGGUCUAGAUAUUCAUGCAAGCAUGAGAUCAAGAGACAGAUAUAGGCAUGGAAAGCCAGUGAAAAUAUUAUAUCCUCGCAAACUUUAAACACCGCCAGAUUACUGUUUUCCAAAAGUAGUUGUUCAUCCGAGAACUAGACAUUUUGUUGCCAAUAAACAGUGAACAAUACGCUCUGAGAAUAAAGCCGAUGUUCUGGGAUGUUGGCGCGUUCUAGAGACCCCUUUUAGGGUUAGCGAUGAGUAAGUUCGAGAUUUGCCGAGGCGCCGAGACCGCGUUUUAGAAUCCGAGCCCGAGACUUUAAGUCAAAUUUCGGAAUCAGUGUCCGAGCUUUUACUAGCUUGAGUUCGGACAUCAGAUAACUUGCUCGAGGUAUGUCAUAAACAUUAGUUGAAAAAGAAUAGCUAGAGCGGAAAGGCUUAAGACUCGAGACUCGAAAAAGAGGGAAACCCUUAGCAGUAACAACAUAAAACAGAUCGCGUUUAACAGAGACUCCGAGAACGUGGUAGAACAAGAGGCUCCAAGACCCUAAAAUGUCGGGGGGAAAAACGAGACUUCGAGACUUCCGUAAAAACGCCGAGAUUCCGAGACUUUGCGAAAUUUUUGCGAGAUUUUCGAAAUUUUAAGAAAGACAUGACAUAUUUGGUAUAGCGAAAAGAGAUUCUGGGAGAGCUGUGCAAAGAAGAAAAAGGUCAUUACUAGGGUAAGCCAAUUCGAGUGUCCUUGGUGUUGGUUUUAGAAAUAGCUUGUUUAAUGACUUGUUAAAGUUCGAGUACUAUACGUAGUUUUGAAGAUGUAAGGCUACUCCUUUUAUUUUCUAAAGUCGUCUUCUCCAUUUGAUCUCUUCUGACCCCUAGUCCGCGUUAAUUAUCGUUAUCACCGGCAAUCUGCAUCUGUUGACAGAAGGCUAUUUGUAUUGACCUUUUUGCGGGAUAAGAAUGAUUCCGUGUGAUUGGUCAAGUCGCGUCGAAGAACGCGGAAUCACGAAGGCUCAAAUUUCAAGAUCAUUUCAUUGGCUGACUGGCGUUCUCCAGACGCGUUGAAUUAAGGCUAUUGAAGUGACGGUCUCUGAUUGGUUGACCCGCGUUUUGAGGACGUAAAAACAACGCUCUCGCAAAAGUACACAUUUAAAUGGGAAAGUACAUUUUUAAAUGGGAAAGUGUUCAUUGCAUCAAUAAGAUUCCAAAUUUCAGCACAAAGCUUGUCCAGCUGAUGCAAUACAUCCAAUGCAAGACUUAAUCUGAUACAAAAUUUCCCUGAUAUUUUCCAUAAAAGCCUGUUAUAUUAGAGUAGGGAAAAUUAGUAUGUUAAAGUUAAAAAUGGUUAAAUACACCCAAUGCAAGACUAGAUCUGACACGUAGAACAACAAUGCAAGACUUUAUCUGAUACAAAAUUUUCCUAAAAUUCCUAAUAAACCCCGCUUAUAUUACAGUUGGCGAAAUAAGUAUGUAAAAGGUAACAGAUGGUUAAAUACAUCCAAAAACUUGAUCUUUUACUAAGUUCUUCUGAAAUCUCUUAUAGAAGCCUCCUACUACAGUAGAGAGAAAACAAUGUACCUUGACAUUCUCUACCCCAAUUAGAGCACCAAGCUCAGCAUCGAAAGCUUUGAUCCUUGUGGUAGACUCUGCAAGCUGAGGGGAUACAACCAAAAUAAUAUGGCCCAACAUUAAAGUGCUGAGUUAUCACUGUACCUCCUCCUACUUAUUGUUAAGUUAGGGGCAACAAACAUUUAAACUGUAUGGGGGGUAAAAUAUUUGAGGUGGUUUUUUUAAAAUAUUUAUUCAUUUUAACAACUUGCAGUUUCUAUACCUGUUUUUGCAGUUUUUCAGAGGGUUUCUUCAUGUAUUCUUCUCUGGUUUUCUAAAAAUGAAGAGCACCAAAAAGAAUGAUCAAAGAUAGUCUAUCGAUGCACACUGUCUUUGCCAUCAAAAGCGAUAUACCUCAUAGAAUUGUCGUUCCUGGUCCAAUACCCUCCGUAUAGACAUAGUCUUCUCAUCUUUACAGGGGUCUCGCGGCUGAACAGAAAAAUACAAGUCAACAUGGUUCAUUUUCUUAUUAGAGAUUUUAAGCAGACACUGCAUCUAUUGAAAAAUUUUAAGUUUACAGUUGGUACUACAGGCCAGUGUCCCCAGCAAUUCUUUAGACAGGUUUUCACACCACUCAAACCCUGGCCCGGCUCUGGCCCUCUUACUUUUGAGAAUAAGCCUGUACCAUGGAACCAUCAGGCCGCUGGAUUGUGGCCCGCUCUCCAGUAAUGACUGUCAGUUAAUACCCAGAGUGUCACGGGUACCAUUGACCAGCUUUACAGUAAAAAAAGAUACCCUGACCCUGGAAUGAACACCAUCCCUCUGGCGUAAAAAGCAAAUCAUGUUCCACUGAACUUUUGCAGCUCAUUUAUGUGCAAGAGCUAUCAAAUCUCAUUGUUAUGUCUUUCACUUACUGUUGCAGGAGGAGACACAGGUUGUUUAUCUUGGGAAGAUGCUGAAAAUUAACCAGAUUUUUAUUAUCUUUAAACAGCUUUAUUUAUACCAAAAAUAAAAUCAAUUACAGAGGUUAUAUGCAAUGAAAAUUGCAUUUGCAUAUGCAAUGAAAAUUAAAUAAACUCAAUAUAAAGCAAUACUGUAUAAUCUAUACAAUGCUGGGUUGAGGAUCAAUAAAAAAUCUUUAUCAUUAUGGAAAAAGCUGGAAGGUAAGGACAAUAAUGCAGUUUCUGGAUAAGUUUCAAAAUAAGGCAAAGAAAAAAAAGGCUUUUGUUUAAUUAGCACAAUCUUGGUUGAAAGAAUAUAAUCAAUAAAACUCAUAAUAUACUCAUAAAGGUGCGAUUUUCACCCUCUGAAUUUCUAGAAUUUGUAACAAAAGCAAAACUUAGUUCAUGCAGGCAGGUGAGACAUACCAGAGGAAAAGGAUGAAGGUGGUUUUCCAAGCAGCGUCAGAGCAACAUAUGAUCCCGCUGGAAAGAUUCAUACAUCACAUUGUAAGUAAAGCUGGACCUCAUCCCAAAGACUGGAAACACAGGAGAAAUAAGUUCGACCCACUUACAACACCCUAAUCAAAUCAAGGCCUGAAUCCAAAAAGAGGCCCCAAGUUUGGAGCUGGGAUUUAAACUUGGACAGCAAAGGUGAAUAACAGUAUGUAGGUGUUUGUGUAUUUAUUUAAACCAGCUGUAAUCACAGGUAUCAUGUGAUAGAAGUAGUACUCACACUUGAUGAGGUUCACAACUUCAAUAUGGUUGAGAUGUGUCACCACUGUACCAUUGACCUAGAGAAAGGGGGGAAAACUCCAUUAAUGAAAUUCAUUUUGUAAUGACUUCAAUACUCUGUUGGCGAAGGCAAAACAUAUCUUUAUAAUGGAAAAAAAAUUCACCUCAGGAGCUCAAUGAAAAAAUAACAAACAAAACAAAGAAAGUUCAAUUAAGGAAAGAUAUUGAUGAUGCACUUGGUCACAAAAAUAAUUUAACCAGAGCUGGCUGUGAAACGCAUGGUUUCUUGUCCCGUCCUUCCUCAAGCACUUUGCACUUGCUACACCGGCUCUAGCAAGGAAUGAUGCAAAAAAAACACAGGAGAUAUUACUACUUACUAUAAUACUACCUACUUGACUUAAGGUUACAGUUCACCUUCAUGAUCCUG